rnacentral:tRNA from 1 species
GAGAUAUUAGUAAAUAAAUUACAUAACUUUGUCAAAGUUAAAUUAUAGGACGAACCUAUAUAUCUUA